UUGGGUUGGAGGAGGGAGGGGAGGGGACUCAUAAAUGUUUUAUCUUUAUUUAUAUAUAUAUAUAUAUACAUAUAUAUAGUAUACUAUAUAUAGUAUAUAGUAUACAGUAUAAUACUGUACUUUUUUCCAAAAUGCUGUGUUUUUAGAAAAAGACACACUUUUGCCUUUUUACGUCUGACUUUUUGAUCUUAAUAUUGAUUAUAGAAUUUUUACCUUUAUCAUUGCUGGCUGAUUUCAAGCUGUAUUGAUUCUUGACCUUUUGUUUGUCUUUCUUCUAUGUUGUAUUUGUGUUCCAUUGAUCCAUGAAUGAGUGCUGAAAGAGGUUUUAGCAAGACAUUGUGUCUACAGCUGUUAGAAAACCAAAAGUCUAUUAUUUUGGUCUAUGCAUUUUGGUCCUUUGUAACCAUUUAAUUUCAAUUUUGAAUACAAUUACCAUCUUGUUUGCUCUUAUUACAGUUGUUAUUACUAUUAUCUUCAGGGUUAAGACCACACCAAAUUAAGAGAAAAGUGGGACAUAUUGCGAGUUGUUUCAAAAUGUUUCUGGUGAAUGUUGCGUCAAAGGUGUGUCUUUUUCAGUUGAAGCUAAGCAAUCAUUUAUUGUUCUUUUUAUUUUUAUUUUUUGGUAAUGCAUUGUCUUUUCCCCCCCCCCAGAGCUGUUAUCAGAGCUCUUAUUUGCUGUAUGGUUACAAUGUGUUUUUAUGUGAAAAUCUCACCAUUUUUAGCUGCUGUUGCACUGGAGGAUUUUGUUAUUAAUAUUAUUAUUAUUAAUUGACAUGGAGUUUAGAACCAUUGUAGCUCACCAAAUUCUAUUUAACUGAUAGAUGGAGUUUAGAAAUGUUUAAACCUGCUAAUUCUGUUUGAUGCGGCCAUUGGCAUGCUGUUCAAAUCAAAAAGAACCAUUUGUUGGCAUAUUUCAACAGCUUGAAAAAUAUAUUGCAAAAAUUAGAAAUGCUUUGUGCCAACAAAUUUAGACAACCUUAUAUGUUCUCUGGUAUAUGGAUAUAUGAACGUUAUAGAAUAGGAUUCAAAGCAUUUAUUGUCAUAUAUAGAUAUGAUGAAUAUAGAUAUGAUGCAACAUUUUUGCUAACUUUUUGGGAUUAGUUUGAUUUAAUCUAGGAUAUUUGAUGUGGUAUGUUAAAAAUAAGACAACUACAACAGCCUGGCACAAAUAAUGUAGCUUGUCUUAGGUAAUUCUUUUUUUUUUUUUACUUCUAUUUAUUUUGCUUUUUUGGGGUACCAUCUUACAAAUAUAUAUGUGGAGCAGAAGUAUCCCCACCUGUUGUAUUGUAUUGAAAGACAGCCAUCACAGUUUUAUCAUUUUGAUGUCCCCCCUUCCCCACUUUUUUUGUUGUUUCCUCAUUUCAAAUGAAAGAAAUGCCAUUAUAUUGUGAAUACCUCAGGAUUUUUUUUUUCUUUUGGGAAAAUUUUAAAACUUUCAAAAACCUAAAACAAAUAAAAU
ensembl:lncRNA